rnacentral:rRNA from 1 species
UCAGAAGUGCGAAUGCUGACAUAAGUAACGAUAAAGCGGGUGAAAAGCCCGCUCGCCGGAAGACCAAGGGUUCCUGUCCAACGUUAAUCGGGGCAGGGUGAGUCGACCCCUAAGGCGAGGCCGAAAGGCGUAGUCGAUGGGAAACAGGUUAAUAUUCCUGUACUUGGUGUUACUGCGAAGGGGGGACGGAGAAGGCUAUGUUGGCCGGGCGACGGUUGUCCCGGUUUAAGCGUGUAGGCUGGUUUUCCAGGCAAAUCCGGAAAAUCAAGGCUGAGGCGUGAUGACGAGGCACUACGGUGCUGAAGCAACAAAUGCCCUGCUUCCAGGAAAAGCCUCUAAGCAUCAGGUAACAUCAAAUCGUACCCCAAACCGACACAGGUGGUCAGGUAGAGAAUACCAAGGCGCUUGAGAGAACUCGGGUGAAGGAACUAGGCAAAAUGGUGCCGUAACUUCGGGAGAAGG